rfam:Gorilla gorilla gorilla genomic chromosome, chrX, whole genome shotgun sequence
GCUGGGCAUGGUGGCGUGUGCCUGUAGUCCCAGCUACUUGGGAGGCUGAGGUAGGAGGAUUGUUUGAGCCCAGGAGUUUGAGGCGGCAGUGAGUCAGGAUCACGCCACUGCACUCCAACCUGGGCAACAGAAUGAGACCUUGUCUCUA